CCACACUGGAACUGAGACACGGUCCAGACUCCUACGGGAGGCAGCAGUGGGGAAUAUUGGACAAUGGGCGCAAGCCUGAUCCAGCCAUGCCGCGUGGGUGAAGAAGGCCUUCGGGUUGUAAAGCCCUUUUGUCCGGGACGAAAUCGUACGGGUGAAUAUCCCGUGCGGAUGACGGUACCGGAAGAAUAAGCACCGGCUAACUUCGUGCCAGCAGCCGCGGUAAUACGAAGGGUGCAAGCGUUACUCGGAAUUACUGGGCGUAAAGCGUGCGUAGGCGGUUUGUUAAGUCCGCUGUGAAAGCCCUGGGCUCAACCUGGGAAUUGCAGUGGAUACUGGCAAGCUAGAGUGCGGUAGAGGAUGGUGGAAUUCCCGGUGUAGCGGUGAAAUGCGUAGAGAUCGGGAGGAACACCCGUGGCGAAGGCGGCCAUCUGGACCAGCACUGACGCUGAGGCACGAAAGCGUGGGGAGCAAACAGGAUUAGAUACCCUGGUAGUCCACGCCCUAAACGAUGCGAACUGGACGUUGGGUGGACUUAGCCACUCAGUGUCGAAGCUAACGCGUUAAGUUCGCCGCCUGGGGAGUACGGUCGCAAGACUGAAACUCAAAGGAAUGA
rnacentral:rRNA from 1 species